GGUCCCGUAGCUCAGUUGGAUAGAGCAGCGGACUUCUAAUCCGCAGGUCGCAGGUUCGAAUCCUGCCGGGAUCGCCA
rnacentral:tRNA from 1 species